GCUGGGAUAGCUCAGUCAGUACAGCAUGAGACUCUUAAUCUCCGGGUCGUGGGUUUGAGCCCCACAUUGGGCA
rnacentral:tRNA from 1 species